rnacentral:rRNA from 1 species
UUACUGCUAUCGAGAUUCGACUAAGCCAUGCGAGUUGAAUGUUCUUCGUGAACAUGGCGGACUGCUCAGUAACACGUGGACAACCUACCCUUGGGUUCGGCAUAAUCCUGGGAAACUGGGGAUAAUUCCGGAUAAACCACAGAUGCUGGAAUGCGCUGUGGCCCAAAGCUCCGGCGCCCAAGGAUGGGUCUGCGGCCUAUCAGGGUUGUAGUGGGUGUAAUGUACCUACUAGCCUACGACGGGUACGGGUUGUGAGAGCAAGAGCCCGGAGAUGGAUUCUGAGACACGAAUCCAGGCCCUACGGGGUGCAGCAGGCGCGAAAACUUUACAAUGCGGGAAACCGUGAUAAGGGAAUCUCGAGUGCCAGCAUAUAAUGUUGGCUGUCCAGAUGCCUAAAAAGCAUCUGUUAGCAAGGGCCGGGCAAGACCGGUGCCAGCCGCCGCGGUAACACCGGCGGCCCGAGUGGUAACCGCUUUUAUUGGGUCUAAAGGGUCUGUAGCCGGCCAAGUAAG